CACAGACAUACUGGCAUACACACAGACAUACUGACACACACACACACACUGACAUACACACACAGACAUACUGACACACACACAUACACACACAGACAUACUGGCAUACACACAGACAUACUGACACACACACACACAGACAUACUGGCAUACACACAGACAUACUGACACACACACACACACACUGACACACACACAGACAUAC